rnacentral:rRNA from 1 species
UACGUAGGGGGGCUAGCGUUGUCCGGAAUCAUUGGGCGUAAAGCGCGCGUAGGCGGCCCGGUAAGUCCGCUGUAAAAGUCAAAGGCUCAACCUUUGAAUGUCAGUGGAUACUGCCGGGCUAGAGUCCGGAAGAGGCGAGUGGAACUCCUGGUGUAGCGGUGGAAUGCGCAGAUAUCAGGAAGAACACCAAUGGCGAAGGCAGCUCUCUGGGACGGUACUGACGCUGAGACGCGAAAGCGUGGGGAGCGAACAGG